CAAGGUUGAAACUCAAAGGAAUUGACGGGGGCCCGCACAAGCGGUGGAGCAUGGGGAUUAAUUCGUCACUAACCGAAGAACCUUACCCAGGCUUGACAUCCGCUGUAAGGCGAUGAAAGUCGUUCCCCCUCCUCGCAAGAGGAGGCAGCGAGACAGGUGUUGCAUGGCUGUCGUCAGCUCGUGUCGUGAGAUGUUGGGUUAAGUCCCGCAACGAGCGCAACCCUCACCCCAUGUUGCCAGCGUCAAGUCGGGCACUCUUGGGGAACUGCCCGGGUAACCGGGAGGAAGGUGGGGAUGACGUCAAGUCGGCAUGGCCCUUACGCCUGGGGCUUCACCCAUGCUACAAUGGGCGCGACAGAGGGACGCAAGACCGCGAGGUGGAGCCAAUCCCACAAACGCGCUCUCAGUUCGGAUUGCAGGCUGCAACUCGCCUGCAUGAAGUCGGAAUCGCUAGUAACCGCCGGUCAGCUAAACGGCGGUGAAUACGUUCCCGGGCCUUGUACACACCGCCCGUCACGUCACCUGAGUCUGCUGCACCCGAAGUCACUGGCCCAACCCUCGUGGAGGGAGGUGCCGAAGGUGUGGCCGGUAAGGGGGACG
rnacentral:rRNA from 1 species